rnacentral:misc_RNA from 1 species
AACGCACAUUGCGCCCUCUGGUAUUCCGGGGGGCAUGCCUGUUCGAGCGUCAUUAUAACCACUCAAGCUCUCGCUUGGUAUUGGGGUUCGCGGUUUCGCGGCCCCUAAAAUUAGUGGCGGUGCCUGUCGGCUCUACGCGUAGUAAUACUCCUCGCGAUUGAGUCCGGUAGGUUUACUUGCCAGCAACCCCCAAUUUUUACAGGUUGACCUCGGAUCAGGUAGGGAUACCCGCUGAACUUAA